UAACCAAAAAGGUCAUAGGUUUUUUUCCCAUUUGAAUUUCCACUCAGGUUUUAUUCAAGAGGGCCCCCACACUCCCAGGUUGCUCUUCCAUGAGUGCAAGGACACAGUGUGGGGCACCGAGCUCAAGACGGCCCCUGGACCUGGAUGCCGGCAAACAGACCCAGGACAAGACCAGAAAACUUGAUUUGUUUACGUGAUGGAAUGACUGCUCCAAGGCACGUGCACAGGGAGAAUGCCAUGUGAAGAUGAAGCAGACACGGGGAUGAAGCUUCUACAAGACAAGGAACACCAAGGAUGGUCAGCAAACCACCAGAGGCUGAGGGAGAAGCCUGGAAUGGAUUGUCCCUCACAGCCCCAGAAGGAACCAGCCCUAGUGACGCCUCGAUCUUGGACUUCUGGCCUCCAGAACCGAGCGAGAAUAACUCUCUGUCUGUGGUGGUGUGUUAUA
rnacentral:lncRNA from 1 species